rnacentral:snRNA from 1 species
UUUGGUGCGUUUUAAUAACUUCGU